CAGGGCUGGCCUCAAGACAGGAAUUUAAAUAUUUCACUACAAAAAUAUCAACUAAGCACAAAAGAAGACAGUAAUGCAGGAAAUGAAGGAUGAAAAAAGCUAUACGGCAUAUAGAAAACAAAUAGCAAAAUGACAGAGAUAAGUCCUUCCUUAUCAGUAAUUACUUUAAAUGUAAAUAAAAAUAAAUGUAAAAUCUUUAUUCUCAUGGAGUGGGUGGGAUGACCAAGAUCAUGUGAAAAUACAUACCUGAGUGACUAAAUAAGUGUUUCUCUUUCUAUUCCCUUUUUUUUAUUCUUGCAUAUUGUUUCUCUGUUUAUUGUAACCAUACCUUCUUAACCAUAAGCCAUCUCAAACACUUCCUGAAAGUAGAUGGGCUUUAAAACGGAUUUUAAAAUAUUAUUAUGCCUGUUCGUGCCUCACCACCUUAUUUGUCUAAGGGAGUGUUACAUCCCUUGGGUGCCCCUACAUUUUCCCUCCUCCAGAAGGCCCCCAACUUGGAGAGACUGUCAACGGGAGAGAGUGUAGAAACUUCCACAUGUGGGUGGCUGAGGUAGCUUCUGAUUACAGUUUAAAUGUAAAUAGAUUUUUAUUUCCUCUCUUUUUCACAUAACCUUGAUCUGUCUUUCAUUUCACUGACCUUUUCUUCUACAGUAUUCAAUCUGUUUGUAAGCCCAUCUACUAACAUUUUCAUUUCAAAUAUAGCUAAAGUUCUAGAAUGUCCAUUUUUUAAUAGCUUCCCUUUCCUUGCUGAGAAUUCCUAUCUGUUCCUUCAUUUUGACCAAGUUCUACAUUAAAUCCUAACGUUUUUAUAAUAGGUGCUUUAAAGUCCUUGUUUACCACUUCCAACAUCUGAGUUACAUUGGGGUUCAUUGCUCUUCACUGUGGGUCACAUAUUCCUGUUUCUCUGCAUGUCUAGUAACUUUUCAAAAUGAAUCCCUGACAUUAUGGAUGACAUGUUGCAGAGUCUAUGGAUUCUCUUAUUUUCCUCUGAAAAGUGCUGAUUUUUGUAUGAACAGAUAGUUAACUGGGCUGGACUCAAAUUCCAACCCCCAUUUCUCCUGUAGGGGGCAUCAGCUGAUAUCGCUCCAUUUUUACAGCCUUUCAGAAGUUGCUGUUUCCUGAGGAAACUUCAGUCUUUGCUCUGCAUGUUGUUAUCCAAGGUUUUGGUCAGAGUUUCUAUGCUGAUUUGGGGUACCCCACUCUGUGUCUCCAUCUUUCUGGGAUUUUCUCUAUUACUUUUCAGCCUCCUUUAUACCUACCAACUCCAUCCUCUGACUCCUCCAGUAUUUCUAUGUGAGUUCUAGUCACCCAGCUCUGUGUGAAUUGGGGGAUAACCUCAAAGGAAAAGCUGUAUGAACGUGAAUUUUACCCAACACACUUCCCACCUUCAAAGACAGCCUGUUUUUGGUCCCUCUCCUUGGCCUUCAAAUAGUUUUAUUUAACCUUUUUUUAAAAAAAUUUCAUCCAGAGCUUAUGACUGUCAUCUAUGAGAGCAUUAGUCUGGUGUAAUCCACUCUACUGUGACCUAAAACAGACUCUAAUUCUGUAUUAGUUUAUUUUAAUUAUCCUCCUUCAUUAUCUCCCUUUUUCUUUCUAGGAAGAAUGGAAAUCAAUAGGAAAUUUCUAACAUGGAUAUGGAUUUUAUUUCCUGUAUGGAUCAUGUAUGGUCUCAAAAUGUUCUGCUUGAAAACUGUCUGCCCUCUUGAGAUUCUCCACGUCUUCCCAAACCACUGUACCAUGAAUGUUAAAUCUCCAAGGAUAGAAGCUGUAUAAAAUUCUUAUCUGAUCUUAGGAAAACGAGAGAAAAGAAUGAGAUACAAAAGAAAAACAAUUAAACUGUUAUUGCUUUCAUUGUUUCUAUGGGCCUUACAUAGAAAGUGUCAUAUCAGCCCAAAGAAACUACAGAGGGUGUAUCGGUGCUGGUCUGUGGAUACUCAAUCAGAAGAAUUAAAGCUGUCAGACUGGUUUCUUCCCAGUGCAUCCAAAAACUUGACUACUACCAACUGGUCAGCUCCGGUUGUGUGGGAUGGCACUUACAAUGAAAGAAUAUUGGAAAAUUAUUAUGCAAAUCAUAAAAUUACAGUGGGGUUGACUGUGUUUGCUGUGGGAAGAUACCUUGAGCGCUAUUUGAGAAGAUUUAUAGCAUCUGCUGAUAAACAUUUUAUGGUUGGCCAGAAAGUCAUAAUUUAUGUCCUGACAGAUGACUUCUCCCACAUGCCAUGGAUACAGCUGAGUCCCCUCCAUACCAUGAAAGUUUUUGAAAUUAAGCGAGAGAGGAGAUGGCAAGAUGUCAGUAUGAUGCGCAUGAAGACUAUCAGUGAACAUGUUGUAAAUCACAUCCAAUAUGAAGUUGACUUCCUCUUCUGCAUGGACGUGGAUCAAAUCUUCUUAAGAAAAUAUGGAUUGGAGACUCUGGGGGAGUCAGUAGCUCAAUUACAUGCUUAUUGGUAUAAUGCAAAUCCUAUGGAGGUACCUUAUGAGAGAAGUCAGUUAUCGGAAGCGUAUAUACCUAUUGGUCAGGGAGAUUUUUAUUACCAUGCUGCUGUAUUUGGUGGCACUCCCAUUCAGGUUCUCAAUAUUGCUAGGGAGUGCUUCAAAGGAAUCAUGAUUGACAAGAGGAAUAACAUUGAAGCAGUGUGGCAUGAUGAAAGUCACUUAAACAAGUAUUUCUUUCUCCAUAAACCCACUAAACUCUUAUCACCAGAAUAUUGCUGGGAUUUUGAUAGAAAACGAAAUCCUGAUAUAAAGUCUGUCAAACUCUAUUGGGCUAUUAAGAAUUAUAAAUAUGUCAGAGCAACAAUAUAAUUUUAUAGCCCUUCCUUCAUGUUUCUGAAUUUAAGAGCACCUUUUAAUCUUAUUCCUGAGAAAAUUAGCAGUUGACAAAUUUUAGCACUAACAAAAUGGCAAGCCCACCAACACAGCAUUCUCAUACUUUCCUCACAUUCAUUUUGAACCAUAUAACAUGGGAUAUAGCAGUUGCAGAAUGAAUAUAUUGACAUCAGAUGGAAAUAUAGUGAUUUUAUAUCCUGUGUGAACGUUCAGGAAAUAGAACAUGCUGGAUCACACCAAACAAAAUAGAAUCUGCCACAAGAAUAUGAAACCUGAAAUAUUUUUGUUGAUCCAAGUAGAUAUACAUUUCUCACAUUGUUUAAGGAGAGGGAUUAUCUAGAGGUGUGGAUAGAUAAAGUCACUGCAACUAUACUAGUAUACUCUCUAUGUAAAACUGUGAGGACGUUAAAGCUGCCGCCAGAUGGGCAGACAGUUACUUAGGAAACUUUGAGUCAUUCAAAACGAACUAUAUGUUUUAAAACUACAAAGUUGCUUGUCGUAAAAUCUAAUUAAAAGAAAAUAAAUAAAUAGAGAGAGAAAAUUGAAAGCCCCCCUCUAUUCUCCCUUGGAAAACCUAUUCCUCAAUAUUCCUUUUGUAUGAAUUAUAUACCCACCCAUGAAUACACACAGACACACACACACAUGUGUGCUUAUAUAAUAUUUUAUACAAAUUCACUUAUAUCAUACACAGGCACACAUACAUGCACACAUACACAUUUUAUCAGUAGUCAGAGUCCAAUUAGGAAAAUAGAAACUACUAUUCUAGGUAUUUCAAACAGUGGGAAUUCAACACAGGGUAUUCGACAUGUAGGUGAUAAAAGAGCUGAGGAGCACAGAAGGGAGAGUGAGGAAACCUAUUUUUUUUUUUUAAUGAAGGCAAUAGCACUUCUAGGGCUGGAGGAAAAAUUGUAGGUCCAGAAAGAGCUAGCACCUGGCAUGAGUUACCUGGCAUGAGCUGGGAUAACAGAGAGUGGAGUUCCAGUCGCUGCUAUAGAUGCCACCCAAGGGAGACAGAGACAGAGAGAAAUAGAUAGGCUUUUCUCCUUCUAUCCUGCUCUCUUCUGCCAGUGUUGUCCCUUGGCUGGUGCUAUACCAUAGUCAGAUGCAAGGGAGUCUGGGAAAUGUAGGUAGGUCCCUGCCACAUUAAGCAGAGCAUGGGAAAAAUGAGAGAGAUCCAAGAGUAAACAGACAAAUGGCUACCACAGUCCACCCAUUUUGCCACAAAGCAUCCAUCCUCACACUUCUACCCAUGCCUAACUCUCAUAAAACGACUUCAUGUUUCCACCUCACAGAAGUCAACUAACUUUUGUACAAAUAAACACUUUCUUCCCAGAAAGGUCAAACACAAAGCACCAUCUGAAAUAAUUUUCUUCACCAUGUCCAGGAACCCCAGAUGAUAUUAGGUCCUCUCCCUCAGGACUGUAUGUGGCUCUUCACAGUUUGAUCUAAAUUCUGAAGAAAAGAACAACUAACACACUUCAUAAAAAAGUGGUAGGAGAAGGAAAAAGGGAAAAUAAUUGGUUAACAUAUAAAGAUAUACACUUAUAGAUAACGUAUUUAUAUUUAUGUUUAUUUUUAUAAUACAAAUAUAAGAAAAACAUGCAUGCCUGCUGCAGUCCUCAUUUCUGUAGCUGACUACAAGGUCAAGUUCAUAUUUAUCUCUUCUUUCUUCCACUACCCAUUCCAUGUUCCUUAUCCUUUGCUAGAAGCUCAGCUGGACAAGGUUCUUCAUCUAAUUGGGUGACAUAAACAUUUUCCCUGUGGGAUCUGAGUCAUUAGCGGUCUUUAUUUAUUGGAUUCCCACAGUUUUCCCUUAACAAGGACUGUCAGAUAAGGUAGUAUUAAGAGGCUUCCAGGGAACACCUUGAGUUCUAAGUAUACCCUUAUUCCACUAUUGUGUAGUAGCGAUCUACUUUCAUCUAGAUAAUUGUGAUCAGUCCCCCCACACAGUACAGAGAGACCCCUUCUCUGGCUGUUGAUUCAGCAUGAUGAGAAUACAAAAUGGCCAGGGCAAGUCUCAGGUUCCAUUUCAACAGGAUCUUCACUGUGUAUCCUGGUAGAAACAUUCCUUUCUUUGCACUAGGACCUCUAAACUCACUGAGCCCAAGGUUGCAGAGAUGGAAGCAAAAAUUAUUCCAGUGGGUUAUUUGGUGUAAUUAUAAAAGAGGGCCUCACAUCUCUACCUCUUAGUUCCAGGACUGAUGCAUUCUGGCUGUGAGGAAGACAGUAUGAUAUAGUGGCCACUUGUUAAGGCAUAUCCCACACUGAGGACAGCACUCCAACCUCACAGAGUGUUGUCUUACAGCUGAGACUCUAGCUGAGUCGUCAGCAGGCCAUUUCAUAAAGUUAGCUGCUUCUGGGUCAUGAGUUACAUGGUAAGGCCAGUGAACUCCACAGGCACAAGCCUACUGCUGCACUUACUUGACAGUAAAAUCUACCUCCUUCUCAGAGACAAUGGAUAAAGCAUUCUAUAAGUCCACAAGUGAUGAUGCUGGCAGAAGGACUGUGGGAAAGGAAGGUAAACCUGUACCCAGAAUAUAUUUCUUUGGGGACAGAUUUCUUCCCCUUCCGUGAUAGGAAAGAUCCAAGGUAACAAAUACACCACUGGUGGCCAGAUGUUUCCUCAGAAGAAAGGUGCCAUAUGAGGUCCUCAGGAUGGCCUCUGCUGUUGGGUGCUUGGGCAUUUAGCAGCAGAGAAAGCCAGAUAUUCACUGAUAGAGGAAGUCUUUCUUACUGAGCCCAUGGAUAACCUCCAUCCCUGCCACUAAGGCCCCUUUGUAUAUGGGCCCAUCAAGCAAGAACUAUGGGCUACAGAAAGAGGCUGGCUGACACCACAGAUCAGAUGAUCUUCUCUAUUUGAUUCUUGAGAGCCUCCUCUGCUGAGAUUGCUCUUUGGUGAGCAUUUUCAAGGGAUACACAUAAUCCUUACACUCUGUGCCUAUUUGAGAAGCCCAUAAACGACCUCAGACUUUUGUCACCAGUUUUCCAAUCUGCCCAAUCCAAUCUCAUAGAAAUAACUUCUGUUUGAUAAUGGAUUGCAGCCGCAUAUAUCCAGGCUUUUAGUUUGUUGGAUCAGAUAGCAUUAGUUCAUGGUGAGUAGGAGAGCUCAUAGCUCAAGUAAAUUUAGAAUCCAUCGUGUCUAGCGUUCAUUAUCCACCUGAACUAUGCAAAGUCUUCCAUCUAGUAUCUAUAUUUGCCACUUGAAUCUGCUAAGGGGCACAGAACCUUGCUCUGCAGACUGUGCCUUACAUAGAACCUUCUCUUGCCCUAGGCCUCACUCAAAAUUGGCAGGGUUACGAGUUUCUUAAUAAAUAGGUCAGAGUGGCACACUCAAAUACAAUAUAUGUUGCCUCCAAUAUCCAAAGUGUCCCACUGAGCUUUACACUUCUGAUUUGGUGGUAAGUGGUGCAAGGUGCAGGAACUUGUCUGGGGCAUAUAACCCUACAUGUGCCUCAGAAACGUCACUGAUGUGUCAGGCCCCUGAAUUUUUAUGGGAUUUUUCUUCCACCUCCUGGUAUACAUUUGUAUUUGCAUGACAUCUGGGAUUCUUGCUCUUUUCUGCUCAACAUGCUCAGCAUGAUGCUAACAAUGAUCUCCUGUGAGAUGUCGUUGAUCAAGGACCCUGUGGAUUAUAUUAUGACAAUGCAGGAGAGUUCACAUUGCUCUGAGGUUUACUGAUGUCUCUGCCAGGUGAAAACAGACUGCUUUUGAUAAUCCAUACUAAUUGAUGUAAGAAAAAACAUCUGUCAGCUGCAAAUCAAACACCAGGGACUGUGUUCAUUCGCUCCAGCAAAGAUACAACACUUGGAAAAGUAGCUGUGAUUGGAGUCAUCACUUAAUUAACUUCAGUGAUUCACAGGCAUUCUCCAAAUUCAUCUGCCUUUUAUACUGGCCAGUUAAAGAAAGUUAAACAAAGAUGUGAUAGGAAUCAACAGCCUCCAAUGUUCAAGUCCUUAAUGGUAGCACUAAUCUUUGUAAUCUCCACAGGGAGGUGUUAUUACUUCUGAUUUACUAUUUUAAGUAGGAGAACAUUUUCCCUUGGCUUCCAUUUGACCCUUCUUACCACAAUAGCCCUUAUGCCAUGGGUCAGACACUGAUAUAAGUAUUCUACCAGUUGCUAAAUAUAAAUAUUUUCAACAUGAAUUCAGCACUUCAAAAAAUGUAGGGUGGCUCCUUUAUAUGCUGGGACCACUGUGAAACAAUCUUGUGGCAGAACUUAAUUUAUCCCCUAAUAUCCAUAAGCCCUCACUCUGUUCAGUAGACCACAAUGCCAUUUCUAGCCCCUAGAAAUUAUUGUUAACUCAGAGCUAGUGUCCAUUUUACAUUUUCCCCCAAGGACACAGUCAUCCUAGUAAAUGACCACAGGUCCUCCUUCGAGGUGACAUAGACUCCCCUUCAAUUAAUGGACUCCAGCUCUGUAAACUGGCUUAGGAGUAGAACAUGGCAAGACACCAUAAUUUGUUAUUGUGACUACUCAAGUCAGGUUUCUGCUCAAUAGGCCUAGGGUUUUUCUAGUAAUGUAAACCCCAUAAUUCUCACUGAAAUCAGAGUCCAUUUCAAUGUCAGUAUCUCCCCACACUGAUUCGUUUCUCAAUGACUUAUUCGAGGGAAAGUGUCCUCCAAGCCCCUCCUCCUCCUCCCUGGAACAUAGUUAGGGGCAAGGGAAUAUUUUGAACGUGAUAAAUUCACUCCAUCAUUUCUGUCUCCCUAAACCUUUGGAUUUCUUUUACAACAUCAUGCUAGGGCAGGUAUGACAUCGUAAGGUCAUUGAUUUUAGACUACCGCUGAAUUCAAUUUUUAGUUUAACAACCAAGAAAACUCUUAGAAACACAACUGCCUAAGACAACAUAGGAAAUCCAGAAUCUCGGGUAAGUGUACCUGUUUCAAUAGAUUCAGCUCAAUCUAAUAUUAUAUUCCAAUCAUCUUGAGCUAACAUCAUUAGAAUCCAUUCUUACAUGUUUCCCUAAUAUAAAUUAGCAACAGCUUGAAAUUCUUUUAAUGUAGCUGUCUCCUACUGGAGCUGACUCUGAAUCCUCUCCCUGGGGAAUGCUGUAUCUGACUCGAGGUAUAAGGCAAUGAGAAUAGGCAUCACCUUGUAAAUUAACCAUUUUGGUGGAUCAUUACAGCAUCUUUAAGCAGGAAAAGACCUGUCUCCUCAGAGAGAGGAAGAGGAGGAGUUGUUUCCACUGACGAGGGGAGCUCAGAAGGAUUAGAAUUACAAGUUCUCAGAUCCAUCAGAAUCCACCCAAAUGUUCUUAUUCCACAUAUAAGGGUCCCAGUCUUUCCUGAUUCACUAAUUUUAACACAAAAAACUUUUAGAAGUUGUAUAUUUGAGUUACAUUUAAAUUAUGUAUACCACACAAUUAGAUUUUAGGCUGUAUCCUCAGCCAUAGAUGCCUUAUGAGCAUGCGCACACACGCACACACAAUGGCACUGUAAGAGCCAUUUUGUUCUGUGUCCGUGCCUUGAGCUGAGAGUUUACAUUUCUAGACUUAUUUUAUUUCUAUUAGCUCUCUAGAACAGUCAGAAGCAGCAAUCCCAUCGCACAGAACUUGCGCUCAUUUAACCGUGAUGGCGAGUACAGCAAGCACUUCAUGGCCCAGUCUUCCCUUCGGUUGACACUUCCUACCAAGCUAUAACAGGUGAUAAGAUAAUUUAAAUAAUUGUGAUGCCACUACAUGCCACAGAUUUCUAGUAACCCAUAAGCAGAAUAGGGUUCUACUUGUAAGGAGGUUUUAUGGUAGUCAGCCUUAAAGAGGGGAGGAACGCAAUACCAGAAUUCCAUUUUGAGAGACAAUUUCUUAGGGUUUUUGGUAGAGAGUUGGCAAAAAUGAACGUUAUUAUCCCUUCUCUGUAUCCACGCCCUUUUUGCAUUUCCCCGGCUGACAUUAUCAAACAGCCAGAUAUGUGAACAUGGAACAGCAAGUCCCCACCAGCCAUACAACCCCAGAGUGCUGUAGAUACAGGAGCCUCCCCAGCUGAGAUCAGCCGAGCUUGACUCACAUCAGCAGCAAAAGAUCCAUAGACUCACGAGCAAAAAUAAAGCACUGUUGCUUUAAGCCGUUAAAGUUCGGGAUGUGCUGUUAUACAGAAAAAGCUAAUUGAUACAAGAGAACUCCUAGUACCAGGAACUAUAUCAACCAGGAUCCAGUCAGGAAAAUCUGAGUAUUUCAAAUGAGGGAUUUUAAUUCAAGAAUUGGUUACACAGGUGAUGGAAUUGCUAAGGAGCUACAUGGGACAGUGAGGCACUGAGAAGCUGUGAGCAUUCCAAAAGCCAGAAGGGCACAAGAAGGAGGUCAAACAAGCCAGGGCCAUCAGUGGGAGCUGGAACCUCCUGCAACCAUGAAGGGCGCAGCUAGGUCUGAUGGAAGCUGGAAUCACAAAGGAGACUUUAAGUGGAGCUUUGUGCUUUUUCUCUACGUGCUCUAGUGCCUUUAGACACACCAUUUAACCUGCCAGUUGGUCCUUAAUUUCUUUAUGUCCUUCAUUUCAUUAAAAACGUUAAUAUAUUUGAGUAAUACAGUGUCUGGCACAUAAGUCAGUGUUAUAUCAGUCGUUGUCGUCAUCAUCAUAUAUUUUUAUGGCAGGAACUAUUAUUCUCCAAAGCGUUUGUCUUUGAUGAGCACCUCAUUCAUGGGAGCACAGGGAUAAUUUAAUUAGCUGUUUACUACAAUAUUCCACAGGCUGCCAGAUACCUAGUUCUGAAUACUAACGUGAUUUUUCAAUUGCUUUUAGCCCCAAACAAGUCCUGAUAACCAAUUCUAGAUUCCUCCCAUUUUCCCUGAGUAUAUGUUAUCUACAACCUCUCUCUUUGGUACCAAUCCUAGAAAUUGGUAUCAGGGCACUGAAAACAAUCCUGAUUCAUUUAAACAGAGGAAGAAUUUAUGGAAUUGCAUGUUGGGUAGAAAAGUUGAGCCCUCAAAUCUUGUGGCCUAACACACAAAAAAGCUUCUCACUCACCCUACAUAUCCAGUGCUCGUUGGAGCCAGGCAAUCUUCUCCAUAUUUUCACCUGGGGACCCAGAAUGAUGGAGGGUCCACUCUCUGUGAUAUUACCAAUCACAAUGUCAUGGGAAGAGAGACACUAGACAAUGACGCAGGGGCCUUUCAGUGCUUCAGCCUGGACUUACUGCAUGCCCCUGCCAAGUGCAGAAGGGCUAGGAAGUGGAGUUUGCCAUCUGCCUGGGGAGGAAGAGAGAACUAGAGAGUGGUGAGUGAUAGGAAUGUUCACUACCGAGGGUAGGAACAGUACUUACCAAAUAGCUGCCGAAAGAGAAAUAUAAAGGAUGAAGAAAAAGAUGUUGCACCUUUUCCAUCAUUCAUAUACACACAGCACACCAUUCAAAAUGUAUUUCUGUAAGUCAAAAUCAGUCAUCAAGAAAAACAUGGAAGCUCAACAAAGAAAACUAAGAGCAAAACAUUCUUUAAAUCCAUUAAUUUUUCAAAUGAAGUUCUACUAUCUGGCAGCAAUGAGAAGAACUUGCUACCAGAUGUAUCAUUAUGACAAUAUCAUUAUGACUUUCUAAUGCUUUCAUCAUCAAAAGAGUCUGGUGACAUCACCAUUAGCAGACGAUUCAAAUACCAGGAGAGUAUUGUACAAUAUCUGACUUUUUUUUUUUUUUUUUUUUACAAAGUCCCAAAAAUAUGAUGCUUGGAAAACAUCCUAGGACUUCUUCUCUUCACAUCACUGAAACUAAAGUGAAGGCUCUUAGGACGGCAUGACAGUUUGAAUGGUCUGGCAAAAUGAGAAUGAAUUCUAAAUGGAAAAUGCUGUUAUUGAUUUCAUUUGCUUUAUCGCUGACAUUGAUUAAGCAUCAUUUCCGAAUAAAGAAGCACCUACAGAAGAUGAACUUCUGCUGGGAUCAUGAAGCAGAAGAACCUCAGCUC